UGGGGGAUAUUGCACAAUGGGGGAAACCCUGAUGCAGCGACGCCGCGUGGGUGAAGGAGCACGUUCGGUGCGUAAAGCCCUAUCGGCAGGGAAGAAAAGGGGGAAACCCCAGACGGUACCUGACUAAGAAGCCCCGGCUAGCUACGUGCC
rnacentral:rRNA from 1 species